rnacentral:rRNA from 1 species
UACGGGGGGUGCGAGCGUUGUCCGGAAUCACUGGGCGUAAAGGGCGCGUAGGUGGUUUGAUAAGGCUGUGGUGAAAGCCCGGGGCUCAACCCCGGGUCUGCCGUGGCGACUGUCAGACUUGAGGGCUCGAGAGGCAGACGGAAUCCGGGUGUAGCGGUGGAAUGCGUAGAGAUCCGGAAGAAGACCGGUGGCGAAGGCGGGUCUCUGGGCCGAUACUGACGCUGGAGGAGCGAAAGCGUGGGGAGCGAACAGG